GACAGAGAGAGAGAGACAGAGAGAGAGAGAGACAGACAGAGAAACACUCAGAGAGAGAGAGACAGACAGGCAGACAGACAGUCAGAGAGAGAGAGACAGCAACAUGUUGUCACUGAACAUGAAAUAAAAUAAAACAAACAUUGUCUCUGUAGGACUUCUGUCGCUCUGUGAAUUCUGUCUCUGUCUGGAGUCCAUUGUUGUCCAAAUCUGGACAAUUUCCCCUUAAGAGACAUUUUUUAUUGUCUCAUUGUCUCUUUAUGGACAGCUGUGAGUCAGAUUGUGUCCAUAGUUAUUGUCUGUUAUUGUCUGUUAUUGUCUGUUAUUGUCUCUGUGUGGACACCUGGAGGACAUCAAAGUCAACUUCUGUCUGUGUGUGGACUCGGACCAGGAAGGACUCGACUCAAACACCAGCAGCAGGACAACUUCAGUGAUUUAGUGGUCUUCGGUGGUCCAGGUAGGUAGACAGGUGGUCCAGGUAGGUAGACAGGUGGUCCAAAGACAGACAGGUGGUCCAGGUAGGUAGACAGGUGGUCCAAAGACAGACAGGUGGUCCAGGUAGGUAGACAGGUGGUCCAAAGACAGACAGAUGGUCCAGGUAGGUAGACAGGUGGUCCAAAGACAGACAGGUGGUCCAGGUAGGUAGACAGGUGGUCCAGAAAGACAGACAGGUGGUCCAGAAAAACAGACAGGUGGUCCAGAAAAACCAAAACAAUCAGCAUGAAGUGAGUCAGAAACCAGGGAAGACAAAGACUACAGACACAGGUGAGGGGACGAUAACGAGAGACAGCGAUCAAACUGGAGGAAAAGACAGGAAGUGAAUUUAAAUAAAAGACAACAGGAUGAAUUUACAAAAUAAAACAGGAACUAAAGAAACACCCAAAACCACGAUACACCUGGCAGACAUCUGGGAGUCCACUGAACAUCUACGAGUUGAUUAUUGAUUGUAUAUGGACACUGUGGACUCCAAUACUGUCUCUAUGUGGACACCUGAGUGUCUCUAAAAGUUUAUCCUGAACUUUUAUCAGAAAUUUGAGUUUGAUAAACUCUGUUAUAUCUUAUUUUGUUAUUGUCAGCAACUAUUUUUACAAUCUCACUUUCUCCUUCUUACUUAUGCUUAAAAACAUCGUAACAAACAUCGCAAGUUUUAGAAAAGCUGCCGUGAAAUCAGGAUUUUUUGAGAGUUGAUCUUUUAUGUGUGCAACAGCUUUAUGUGACUGACGCAGCUCCAUAAACCUGCAGAUAUUCACUGUCAAACACACUUCAUCAAAUACAUGGAGGAGAAAAACUUCUGUCUGAUAUUAUUUAUUAAAGUAUAAUUUAUGUUAAAGAGUAAGAAAAGGAAGAGCAUAAUAAAACUUCCUCCAUCAGCCUGAACAAGAAGGAAAACAACUUUAUACAAAGUGUAUUUAAAUAUCUGCUUUCACUGAAACUGACGGUUGCUAACAGCGUUUCAUCUUUUAGCUUCAUUUCAGACACAGAGUCCAGAGUUCAAACAGGUUGCGUAUGUUAAAGGUCGCUCUGUUAUCCCCGGACUUAAAAGAUGCAGUUAUUUACAUUUGUUUGUGCUAAUUUUACAGUAAAGGUCACAGUUUGCUCCUCACUCCUGACGCCGGAGUUUUAAGGGGCGUGUUGGCGAGUCGGGGUUUGGAGAAUAAGUCGGAGUGAUAUCUGAGUGUCUGACAGCAGCAGACGAGGAGGGGAGUGAUGUCUGAAGGCAGCCAGGGGGGUUUGGGACUCGCUGUCAGUCUGCCUCCGUUUGACAGGCUGGCGAGGGGAAAAGGCCAGCGCUCUGAGGCUCAGCGUGGGGCCGCAGGCGUGAGGACGCUGCCGCCCGCCCGCCACAACGAGAGGUCGCCUCCCUGUCCAACGGGACGCCCAGUGCCACCGUGUUGUGCAAAUGUAACCCGUCACCCCCACGGCUCCUGACCUCAGACUGGCAGCGCCCGGCGAGCGGGACGAUCGAUUGAUCUAAAUAACAUUAUGACGUGAUUAACAUAAACGGCCUGUUGAGGGGCCUGUUGAGGGGCCUGGGCGGCCCCGACAGACCGGACCACACAGCAGGCAGCAGCACGACGGAGAGACGCCACGGAUCACAGAGUCAGAAAAUCCAUCUGGAGAGUCUCUGCUGCAGCCAAAUGUGCUUCUGCAGAUUAUUAUACAACAGAAAGUACAACAGCAGUUAUUUCAUAACGGAUCAUUUCCCAAAAAGACGUUUACUGCAAACAACUUUAUGGAGAAUGAAGUUGUUUGGUAACUUUAUGAGUUUUUAAUCACUUCCUGUAAGUUUACUUAAUGAAUUUUGAAAAGAAUUAACCAAAAAAACAUUUCUAUGAGGGUUAAAAUCAACAUUUAUGGAGAAUGAAGUUGUUUGGUGACAUUUUAUUUAAUGGGUUUAUUUAAUUUCCAUAGAAAAAAACUUUUGAACGCACGAUGAUAUGAUAUUUAUUUGAUAAUUUCCUAGAACUUUUCCUGGGAAGAAAAAUGUCAUUUGGUGCAAAAUUGUGAGGAAAAUAUGUUUUGUUUUGUUUUUCUUGAGAGAAUUACUAUUUAAAAAAUAAGUAUGUAAAUAUUCGUUAUAUCUUAUCAGCUUUUCAGGCUGGCUUUCCAUCAAAACAUUAAACUACUGCUUUGUUAUAACUUAAAAAUUAUAAUAUAUAAUUAUAAUAAUGGUUUUAUUAACAGGUGCAACUUUCAUUGCUUCCAAUCCGGUUGAUUACUACCUCUGUGGGUCUGUUAUGCUUUACUUUGGUUUAAUACUUACUUAUUAUAAUACUUACUGUCUUCAUAACAGAAAACAAUGUGUUGUCAUACAAAGAAACAAGGCUUUCCUCAGGGAUCCGCUCUUGGUCAUCAUGUUUUUUUAAUUUGUUCUGAAUGUUGUGUUCAGCUUUAUGCAGACGAUACAAUUAUAUACACAUCUAAAAUAAUGUCUUAAUGUUUUAAAGAGUUUGGUCUAGACCUGCUCUAUUUGAAAAGUGUCCUGAGAUAACUUCUGUUAUGAAUUGGCGCUAUACAAAUAAAAUUGAAUUGAAUUGAAUUGAAUUUAAAAUAAAUCUGGAUCGCAGCUAUUAAAUUACUAUUCAAUAAAACUAAAUCAAAUUAUGACUUUUCUAAAGACAUAUAGUCUUAUUAUCUGUCGCAGUGAUACUGCAAAGAGUUAAACCAAAAACCUGGGCCUCAUCAUUGAAUCAUUUAAAUACCAUACUGACCAUAAUGUGAAGAAAAUUAACUUUGGUAUUGGAGUUGUUUUCCGUUUUAGAAACUGCUUUUCAUUUACUGUUAGAACAUUUACCAAUAAUCAAUCUCUCCAGGUAGUUUAACAACCAGUCCAUGUGAAUUCAACUUUGUCCAAUCCUUGUAGUUUCCUGUGAGUUUAACCAAUCAUAGCAGUCCCCGAACAAACCACCGAUCUCUAAAGAGAUUUUAUUCUCACUGGAACAAGUUGCCUUAAAUUUUAAUGGAUUAUACAGGGCUGGAAUUAACUAAUUUUUUAAAUAAUGUUUACUAAUUACAUGUGUUUUAUAGAGGUUCAAUUAGUUCAUAUUAGUUAAGAAAACAAACUGCCUUAGUUUGAUCAGUUUAUUGAAAGUAUAUUUUCUACAUGGAUCUCCUAUUUUUAUUGAAUGUCUGCUGUGGACAAUACAUUUAAAAUCAGUGCUUAAAAAAGUAAUUAAUACUCUGAGUACUUUUUGGGAAGAAUACGAUUGUACUUCUAUUUUACUGUUUUUAUAUUAAAACAUUGAAACAUGUUUCACAAUUAGCUGUAAAAUAAAGAAUUUGAAUCUACACCAAUGAAAAAAAGAAUCACUUUAGUCUAUAAAUAAACAUAUAAAUAUCAUAUAUACAUUGUAUAUACUGCCAUCUCCACCUACCUCUAGUAUACAUAUUUAUAUACAUUAAAAACAAAUAAUAAGCUCAACAAUAUUUCUCCCACUGUCUAUAAAUGUUGUUUAUGUUUAUAUCUGUACACAGUCGUUUAUGUUGUUAAGCUUGUUGUCCUGUUUAUUUGUGUGAUUCUGUGCUUGUAUUGAGUCAGAUUCUUUGUCUCUGUGCACAUAACUGAUCAAUAAAGGUGAUUUUGAUAAUAGA